rnacentral:rRNA from 1 species
ACGACGCACGGAGUCCUGGAACUUCUGCUGGUCAGCGCCGUGGGCAUGAAGCAUGCGCACCAUCACCUAGGACCGCAAAGAUAUUACGUGACCAUCCAGUGCGCCGACCAGCUCCGCGCCAGUAAAAUCACACACGGUAAGCACAGGAGGAUCUGGUGGAACGAGAAGUUCAGGUUCCCGCUGUCGCCCCGCGAGUGCAGGAAGCUGGCCAAGGUGACGCUCAAGGUCAUGGAGAGGGACAAGUUCGCCGAGGACACUCUGGUCGGCGAAAUUAGGGUGCAUGUGGGCGAGAUCAUCAGGGAGGGCAGCGAGAGGGAGUUCCUGCAGAUGAAGCCCGCCCCGUACAACAUCGUGCUCCGGGACGGCACGUACAAGGGGGAGCUCAAGCUCGGCCUCAAGUUCCUCUCCGGCGUGAGCUCGGAGCAGCGGCCGGGAGAGCGCCGGCAGUGCGCGGCCGCGCCGCCGAGGCGGCCGUACGCGGUGUACACGCCCUUUCUGAACAUCACGCUGCUGUGCGUCCCGUGGAGGAGGUUCUUCUUCCUCUGCACCCGCUCCAAC